GGAUUAGCGGCGGACGGGUGAGUAACACGUGGGUAACCUGCCUCAAAGUGGGGGAUAGCCUUCCGAAAGGAAGAUUAAUACCGCAUAAUAUAAGAGAAUCGCAUGAUUUUCUUAUCAAAGAUUUAUUGCUUUGAGAUGGACCCGCGGCGCAUUAGCUAGUUGGUAAGGUAACGGCUUACCAAGGCAACGAUGCGUAGCCGACCUGAGAGGGUGAUCGGCCACAUUGGAACUGAGACACGGUCCAGACUCCUACGGGAGGCAGCAGUGGGGAAUAUUGCGCAAUGGGGGAAACCCUGACGCAGCAACGCCGCGUGGGUGAUGAAGGUCUUCGGAUUGUAAAGCCCUGUUUUCUAGGACGAUAAUGACGGUACUAGAGGAGGAAGCCACGGCUAACUACGUGCCAGCAGCCGCGGUAAUACGUAGGUGGCGAGCGUUGUCCGGAUUUACUGGGCGUAAAGGGUGCGUAGGCGGAUGUUUAAGUGGGAUGUGAAAUCCCCGGGCUUAACCUGGGGGCUGCAUUCCAAACUGGAUAUCUAGAGUGCAGGAGAGGAAAGCGGAAUUCCUAGUGUAGCGGUGAAAUGCGUAGAGAUUAGGAAGAACACCAGUGGCGAAGGCGGCUUUCUGGACUGUAACUGACGCUGAGGCACGAAAGCGUGGGUAGCAAACAGGAUUAGAUACCCUGGUAGUCCACGCCGUAAACGAUGGAUACUAGGUGUAGGGGGUAUCAACUCCCCCUGUGCCGCAGUUAACACAAUAAGUAUCCCGCCUGGGGAGUACGGUCGCAAGAUUAAAACUCAAAGGAAUUGACGGGGGCCCGCACAAGCAGCGGAGCAUGUGGUUUAAUUCGAAGCAACGCGAAGAACCUUACCUGGACUUGACAUCCCUUGCAUAGCCUAGAGAUAGGUGAAGCCCUUCGGGGCAAGGAGACAGGUGGUGCAUGGUUGUCGUCAGCUCGUGUCGUGAGAUGUUAGGUUAAGUCCUGCAACGAGCGCAACCCUUGUUAUUAGUUGCUACCAUUAAGUUGAGCACUCUAAUGAGACUGCCUGGGUAACCAGGAGGAAGGUGGGGAUGACGUCAAAUCAUCAUGCCCCUUAUGUCCAGGGCUACACACGUGCUACAAUGGUAGGUACAAUAAGACGCAAGACCGUGAGGUGGAGCAAAACUUAUAAAACCUAUCUCAGUUCGGAUUGUAGGCUGCAACUCGCCUACAUGAAGCUGGAGUUGCUAGUAAUCGCGAAUCAGAAUGUCGCGGUGAAUACGUUCCCGGGCCUUGUACACACCGCCCGUCACACCAUGAGAGCUGGUAACACCCGAAGUCCGUGAGGUAACCGUAAGGAGCCAGCGGCCGAAGGUGGGAUUAGUGAUUGGGGUGAAGUCGUAACAAGGUAGCCGUAGGAGAACCUGCGGCUGGAUCACCUCCUUUCUA
rnacentral:rRNA from 1 species